rnacentral:rRNA from 1 species
AUUGAACGCUGGCGGCAUGCUUUACACAUGCAAGUCGAACGGUAACAGGCCGCAAGGUGCUGACGAGUGGCGAACGGGUGAGUAAUGCAUCGGAACGUGCCCAGUCGUGGGGGAUAACGCAGCGAAAGCUGCGCUAAUACCGCAUACGAUCUAUGGAUGAAAGCGGGGGACCGUAAGGCCUCGCGCGAUUGGAGCGGCCGAUGUCAGAUUAGGUAGUUGGUGGGGUAAAGGCUCACCAAGCCGACGAUCUGUAGCUGGUCUGAGAGGACGACCAGCCACACUGGGACUGAGACACGGCCCAGACUCCUACGGGAGGCAGCAGUGGGGAAUUUUGGACAAUGGGGGCAACCCUGAUCCAGCAAUGCCGCGUGCAGGAAGAAGGCCUUCGGGUUGUAAACUGCUUUUGUACGGAACGAAACGGCUCUGGUUAAUACCCGGGGCUAAUGACGGUACCGUAAGAAUAAGCACCGGCUAACUACGUGCCAGCCGCCGCCGUAACAC